GCAACUCCUAGUCAAUCUAGGAACAACGGUCAGUAGAGAAUGAGACUUUGAAUUUCAGGGCCAUGGGUUCAAGCCCCAUGUUGGGCA